GAUGAACGCUAGCGGCAGGCCUAACGCAUGCAGGUCGAGGGGGAAGUUACUUUCGGGUGACUGAGACCGGCGUACGGGUGCGUAACGCGUAUACAAUCUGCCUUUCACUGGGGGGUAGCCCGAAGAAAUUUGGAUUAAUACCCCAUAGUAUAUAGGGACGGCAUCGUUUUUAUAUUAAAGCUUAGGUGGUGAAAGAUGAGUAUGCGUUCUAUUAGCUAGUUGGAGAGGUAACGGCUCCCCAAGGCGAUGAUAGAUAGGGGUUCUGAGAGGGAUGUCCCCCACACUGGUACUGAGAUACGGACCAGACUCCUACGGGAGGCAGCAGUGAGGAAUAUUGGACAAUGGUCGGAAGACUGAUCCAGCCAUGCCGCGUGCAGGAUGAAGGUCUUAUGGAUUGUAAACUGCUUUUGUAAGGGAAGAAUAAGGGCUACGCGUAGUUUGAUGACGGUACCUUACGAAUAAGCAUCGGCUAACUCCGUG
rnacentral:rRNA from 1 species